rnacentral:rRNA from 1 species
AUUGAACGCUGGCGGCAGGCCUAACACAUGCAAGUCGAGCGAGCGGCGGACGGGUGAGUAAUGUAUGGGGACUGCCCGAUAGAGGGGGGUAACUACUGGAAACGGUGGCUAAUACCGCAUACUGUCGGAUCACCCAUAGGGGAUUAGCGAGUAGGUAAGGUAAUGGCUUACCUAGGCGACGAUCCCUAGCUGGGCUGAGAGGAUGAUCAGCCACACUGGGACUGAGACACGGCCCAGACUCCUACGGAGGCAGCAGGGGGGAUUAUUGCACAAGGGGCGCAAGCCGGAUGCAGCCAUGCGGCGUGUAUGAAGAAGGCCCUAGGGUUGUAAAGUACUUGCAGUCGGGAGGCGUUACCUACAGAAGAAGCACCGGCUAACUCCGUGCCAGCCGCCGCGGUAAUAC